rnacentral:lncRNA from 1 species
GCGGGUGUGGGGCUGUUGGAAGUGAGACCUUAAGGGCAGAGGCAGAAUCAGGAAGAGAGCUGCUGAGAUAUUCAACUACCUAAUCCAAUUCUCCUUGCACACUCAGCAGCCUCCCCUCCCUCUGCACAACAAUGGAAGGAAAGAGGCAGUGGGGCAAAAAUAAGGUCCUGUAAUACGGUUAGAAGGGGUAAUUACCAGGACCGUGGAGCACAGGGAAAGUACCUCCCAGAAAGAAGGGCUAAAGACAGCCUACAAGGAUGAGGAGUAAGGGAAUUAGUAACAAAUGUAUGCUUGUGCAGGGAACCAAAAAAAAUAAAAUAAAAAAAUAAAACUAAAUCUCCAUGCUGAAUUGGCCAGGCACUGGAGAACCUGAGGUAGGCAGCAAGGACUGGGCUACAGUACAUUCCAGGGAGGAGGAGAGAAAGCUCCAAGCCAGGCCGGGAUUUUGCAGCAGCUGCUGUGCCCUGAUACUGAGUAUCGGUGCCUCGAGGGAGGGAUGAGUCAGUCCCAGCAGAUCCAAGUUUAGGAUAAAAGAGCCAACCAGGAAAGCACUCGGCAAACACCUUCCCUGUGAGAGGGCUACUGACCAUUUAGAAGUGGGAUCCCCAGCCCCAUACAGGACACCAGGGAGGCCCUGGAACUGCUUGAAGGGCUCAUUCGCAUAGGGACUGAGAGUGAAGAGCUGUUUUAAAGUGUGUCCCUUCCUCUACCCGGAAAGUUCUGCCAGAUUUGCCACCCGUUGUUUGAUUUCAUAGAGUUGUCUAAAACCAGGGUUGUGUUAGAGCAGAAGGCAAAAGGGUAAGUGCCAGAUUAGGGUUGUGAAUGCCACAUCUUGCUGUAGGAGUCAAGGAAGGGUGUUUUGAAACAAGAAUUCUUGGUUAUGGGUGUGGCUGUAAAUGCAUCCUGCACCCUGAUGCCUCAUGGGAGAGAGCUUUGAGUUGUAUGGGGAUCUGGCCAGAAGGAUUUGUCCAUGAAGCACACCAGAUUCUGAUUUGAUGGGCAGCCAAUUAAUGAAACAGACACGCCUGCACAGUUGGAAACGGAGGCUGAAGAUACAGUUGAUGUGUUCCAGCAGCUGAUGGGAGGCGUAUCCUGAAAAGGGAACCUGCCACUUCACUCCAGAACUCUGUUCCUCCAGACCAAGAAGGCAUUCUCGAUUAGAAAGCCACAAUUUGGUUCCACCACAUCCUGAGUACUAUAGUUUUCUCUGUUCUUUCAUUUCCCCCUUCCCCAUUCCUUUAUUGUACAUUAAGGUACUGUGGAUGUGCACAAGCAUAUUGCAGUGUUUUGUUUUUUGUUUUUAAUUAAAUGGCCAAUGUUAUGUUUGGUGCAUGUCACAUGGAGAUGGGAUGGGGAAAAAUACUGGUUCUGUGAUAAUAGCUCCUUUCUCCAUUAGUGGCAUGCUCAUUCAGCUCUUUUUUUUUUACAUUCCAGUAAGUUAUUUUGCUCUCACUGUUUAACAAAAAAUGAGCAAAUAAAAAUCCUUGCAUACCUUGUGUGAUUGGAGAA